GACGAACGCUGGCGGCGUGCCUAACACAUGCAAGUCGAGCGAAUGAAGUUCCUUCGGGAAUGGAUUUAGCGGCGGACGGGUGAGUAACACGUGGGCAACCUGCCUCAUAGAGGGGAAUAGCCUUCCGAAAGGGAGAUCAAUACCGCAUAAGAUUGUAGUACCGCAUGUUACAGCAAUUAAAGGAGCAAUCCGCUAUGAGAUGGGCCCACGGCGCAUUAGCUAGUUGGUGAGGUAACGGCUCACCAAGGCGACGAUGCGUAGCCGACCUGAGAGGGUGAUCGGCCACAUUGGGACUGAGACACGGCCCAGACUCCUACGGGAGGCAGCAGUGGGGAAUAUUGCACAAUGGGGGAAACCCUGAUGCAGCAACGCCGCGUGAGUGAUGACGGCCUUCGGGUUGUAAAGCUCUGUCUUCAGGGACGAUAAUGACGGUACCUGAGGAGGAAGCCACGGCUAACUACGUGCCAGCAGCCGCGGUAAGAC
rnacentral:rRNA from 1 species